CAAAGGUUUAAUUUAUUUUGAAUAAACUUAAAAUGUCAAGAUAUUUUCCAAAGAGGUAUUAAGCUCCUUUUAAACAGUGCUUUGAAAGAUUUCAUAUACAGUUUUGGAACUUGUAAGAGUAUUAGUUGUUAUAGAGACAUUUAUAUUGGAAAAGGGUUUCAGUACAUUUAUAUAAUAUGAGCAAUGCAUAUUGUAUUGUACUCUUAAACUGUACAUUUCGUCUUUCAAAUCAUGGGUAUGUAAUGCACAUGUUACUAAUGUACUAUUAAUACAUUUGUUAUCUGUUCUGGUUAGAAUCUCAUUUCCUCAAUGUGUUAAAGGUGCUGUGAAAUUUGUUUUGUUUGUUGUUUUUAUGCCCCCCUUCGAAGAAGGGAGGGCAUAUUGCUUUGGUGCUGUCUGUCGGUCCACUUAGUUUCCGCUCAUUUUCUUCACAAUCGUUGCACAUACUGAAAUGAAAUUUAGUAUACAGAUUUAUCAGGUAAAUAUCUAGGUCAGGUUCUGUUUUGGGCACGAUCACACCAUUUUUUACAGAGCUAUGCCCCUUGGACUAAGGAAAAUUCGAAUUAUUUGCAGUUUCCGUUCAUUUUGGUCGCAGAGGUUGCACAUACUGAAAUGAAAUUUGAUAGACAGACUUAUGAGAUGAUUUUGUUUUGGGUACGAUCACACCAUUUUGACAAAGUUGUGCCCCUUUGGGCCUUGCUCCAACACAUCUUGAGGACUGUUCGUCCUCUGGUGAAGUAUUGGACAACACGUU